UACGGAGGAUGCAAGCGUUAUCCGGAAUUAUUGGGCGUAAAGCGUCCGUAGGUGGCGGUUCAAGUCUGCCGUUAAAACCAGUAGCUUAACUACUGACAGGCGGUGGAAACUGAACAGCUAGAGUGUGGUAGGGGUAGAGGGAAUUCCCAGUGUAGCGGUGAAAUGCGUAGAGAUUGGGAAGAACACCGGUGGCGAAAGCGCUCUGCUGGACCACAACUGACACUCACAGGACGAAAGCUAGGGGAGCGAA
rnacentral:rRNA from 1 species